rnacentral:rRNA from 1 species
GAUGAACGCUGGCGGCGUGCCUAAUACAUGCAAGUCGAGCGAACAGACGAGGAGCUUGCUCCUCUGACGUUAGCGGCGGACGGGUGAGUAACACGUGGAUAACCUACCUAUAAGACUGGGAUAACUUCGGGAAACCGGAGCUAAUACCGGAUAAUAUAUUGAACCGCAUGGUUCAAUAGUGAAAGACGGUUUUGCUGUCACUUAUAGAUGGAUCCGCGCCGCAUUAGCUAGUUGGUAAGGUAACGGCUUACCAAGGCGACGAUGCGUAGCCGACCUGAGAGGGUGAUCGGCCACACUGGAACUGAGAAACGGUCCCGACUCCUACGGGAAGCAGCAGUAGGGAAACCUCCGCCAUGGGCGGAAGCCUGACGGAGCAACGCCGCGUGAGUGAUGAAGGUUUUCGGAUCGGAAAACUCUGUUAUUAGGGAAGAACAAAUGUGUAAGUAACUAUGCACGUCUUGACGGUACCUAAUCAGAAAGCCACGGCUAACUACGUG